AAUCUACCCAGUAGUGGGGACAACAUGGUAGAAAACCAUGCUAAUACCGCAUACCGCCCGUAAAGGGGGAAAGGCGGGGGACCUUCGGGCCUCGCGCUAUUGGAUGAGCCUGCGUCGGAUUAGCUGUUGGUGAGGUAAAGGCUCACCAAGGCGACGAUCCGUAGCUGGUCUGAGAGGAUGAUCAGCCACACUGGAACUGAGACACGGUCCAG
rnacentral:rRNA from 1 species